UCCACCUCUUCCCAUUCCGAACAGAGAAGUUAAACCCCGCCACGCCGAUGGUACUGCGAAAGUGGGAGAGUAGGUAACCGCCCCCU
rnacentral:rRNA from 1 species